AAGCUUGGCACAUCUAACUAUUUUAUAAACCAACCCUGAUCUGUACUUCUCCACAACUUUGGCCCUGAGGUCAGGGCCAAAGUUGUGGAGAAGUACAGAUCAGGGUUGGGUUAUAAAAUAUUUGAAACUUUGAACAUCCCACAGAGCACCAUUAAAUCCAUUAUUUAAAAAAUGGAAAGAAUAUGGCACCACAACAAACCUGCCAAGAGAGGGCCGCCCACCAAAACUCACAGACCAGGCAGAAGGAGGGCAUUAAUCAGAGAGGCAACAAAGAGACCAAAGAUAACCCUGAAGGAGCUGCAAAGCUCCACAUCGGAGAUUGAAGUAUCUGUCCAUAGGACCACUUUAAGCCGUACACUCCACAGAGCUGGGCUUUAUGGAAGAGUGGCCAGAAAAAGCCAUUGCUUAAAGAAACAAACAAGCAAACACGUUGGUGUUCACCAAAAGGCACGUGGGAGACUCCCCAAACAUAUGGAAGAAUGUACUGUGGGAGACUCCCCAAACAUAUGGAAGAAGGUACUGUGGGAGACUCCCCAAACAUAUGGAAGAAGGUACUGUGGGAGACUCCCCAAACAUAUGGAAGAAGGUACUGUGGGAGACUCCCCAAACAUAUGGAAGAAGGUAC
ensembl:lncRNA